rnacentral:rRNA from 1 species
GACGAACGCUGGCGGCGUGCUUAACACAUGCAAGUCGAACGGAAAGGCCUGCUUUCCCUUGUGGAUUGCGGGUACUCGAGUGGCGAACGGGUGAGUAACACGUGCGUGAUCUUCCCCCAACUUGUGUAUAAGCCUGGGAAACUGCGUCUAAUUACCGAUAGGACUGCAGGGUGGUGCCGGAAGUGGCAGACGAUUGUCUAGUGGUUGCGGAUGAGCUGGCGGCCUAUCAGUUUGUUGGUGGGGUAAUGGCCUACGAGUACUGCGACGGGUAGCCGGCCUGGGAUGGUGGACCGGCACAUUGGGACUGAGACACGGCGCAGACUCCUACGGGAAGAAGCCGACGGGAAUAAGGCACAAUGGGCGGAAGCCUGAUGCAGCGACGCUGAGUGGGGGAUGACGGGCUUCGGGUGGUAAACUCCUUGCGACCGCGAGGAAGCCACUUUGUUGGAAGGGUGGUGACGGUAGUGGUAGAAGAAGCACCGGCUAACUACGUG